rnacentral:rRNA from 1 species
UGAGGAAUAUUGGUCAAUGGGCGCAAGCCUGAACCAGCCAUGCCGCGUGCAGGAUUAAGGCCCUAUGGGUUGUAAACUGCUUUUGUACGGGAAGAAACAGUGCUUCGUGAAGCACCUUGACGGUACCGUAAGAAUAAGGAUCGGCUAACUCCGUGCCAGCAGCCGCGGUAAUACGGAGGAUCCAAGCGUUAUCCGGAAUCAUUGGGUUUAAAGGGUCCGUAGGCGGGCCUGUAAGUCAGUGGUGAAAUCUUUCGGCUCAACCGGAAAAUUGCCAUUGAUACUGCAGGCCUUGAAUUAUUGGGAAGUAACUAGAAUAUGUAGUGUAGCGGUGAAAUGCUUAGAUAUUACAUGGAAUACCGAUUGCGAAGGCAGGUUACUAUCAAUAUAUUGACGCUGAUGGACGAAAGCGUGGGGAGCGAACA